rnacentral:snRNA from 1 species
AAAGGUACUUGGCAGGGGAGAUACAAUGAUCACGAAGGUGGUUUUCCCAGGGUGAGGCUCAUCCAUUGCACUCCGGGGUGUGCUGACCCCUGCGAUUUCCCCAAAUGCGGGAAACUCGACUGCGUAAUUUGUGGUAGUGGGGGACUGCGUUCAUGCUUUCCCCUG